AUUAACUUAAUUCCAUUUGUCUUUCUUCUCCAGAUAUGAAAUAAAAUAAUUAAUGAAAUGGAUCAACUUGGCACAUGCAUUUUCUGCUUAUUUCUUUCUGCACAGCCCAUCCCAUAAUUCAGAGAUCAAUUUGGAUGAAGAUUAGAAGUAGUCUAGUUUUAAGAAUACCUAAAUUUGAAGCAGUAUUUGCAAUGAAAGAGACUCGGGGCAAUUAUCAUGGUGCCAAGCCCAAAGAACAAGUAAUGAGCAAAGUAAAAUGCACAUAAAAAA
rnacentral:lncRNA from 11 species